rnacentral:lncRNA from 1 species
AAAGUUACACAAGAAGAAUUGGCCCUUGACCAGCCUGAUUGGUUGCAGGAGGGGACCAAUCAGAGGUACCUCCCAUUUUUCAUCUGCAGCCCAAUGCAAAGUAAUGACAUGGAUCUGGAGAGAUUCUCUUAGGAGAGAAUCUGGCUAAGUGUCUAGCAGGAUGAUUGAUUAACAAGAUGUUUUGUUUUCAUCAUCUCAGAGAUAACUGUAUUGAGGUAUAAUUGAUAUGCCAAAUAACUGGACACAUUCAACUUGUGCAAUUUGAUGAGUUUGGAGAUACACAUACAUCUGUGAAACCAUCACCAAAAUCAAGGAUCGUUGUCAUUGGAUUUAAGAGGGCCUACCCUGAUAAUACAGGAUAAACUCCUUCUCCCAAAACCUUUUCUUCUCUCAGAAUCUUUUGGCAGCAAACACAUUCAAGCAUCUUCUAUGUGCCAAGAACUUGCUGGAAAACAUCACAAAAGUUAAUAUUUUCUGGAGAUCAAGGAAUGAAACUCAGCCCUCUGCAAAUGGAACACAAACGCCUGGUACAUGGAUGCUACAAUGAAAAGAAUAUGGGUGCUGAAAUCAGAGAGAAUCAUCCAAGGUGGGUCUCCUCUGUCCUUACAAUCUCCAGUCACACCUUAACCACUUUUCCAGAUGAUCCUUAUGCAUGCUGAACUCUGAGAGCCACCAGUGAAGAAGAUAAGUGACCCAUCUACCUGUAGCUGGAAAAUAAAGGCUCUUUGGGAUUCUUUCCCAUGAGUCUUCAUUUCACCAUAUUGGUGAGAGAAGGCAUUCAGGCCCAAUAAUUAACUGAACAUUAGCUGUGUACCAGACACUGUGGUCGACAUUGAGAUAUAACGUUUGAGCUCUGUCAAUGGGACAGUCCUGGGCAGGAGACUGGGGAGAAGAGGCGGCUUGCUGGUUUUCCUGAACCACUUCCACCCUGAAAGACUCCUUGCAUACAAUCAUCAGAGAAGAACCGUGGGAACCAAGAACCAUGAGCAGGAGAACCAUGAGCACACUGUUCGCAAUGGCCAAGAUUUGGAGGCAACCUAAGUGUCCAUCGACAGACAAAUGGUUAAAGAAAAUGAGGAAGGAAUAUCAAGAAAAUAGACUACAAAUAAAUGUCUUUUAUUUCUACUUCUUCAAUAUAUAUUAUAACAUUCUUCUUGCCAACUGAUCUUCUUGCCUCCAAUUUGACCCCUCUGAUCCACCAAGUAUUGCAUACUACCGUGUUUUGAGACAUAGGAGGAGGAAAAAACCAUGGCUGCGGAGGUGAUUUAAUAUCCUGUUGACUCUGAAGAAAAAUACACUUCUUCAUUAUAAGAGUUUUAUUGCCAAUGACUAGAAGGAAAUGUAAAGGGGACAACACAAGAUGACUAACACAGGAAGUUAUAAAACUCACAGCUCUAACUGUCAUGGCCCUGGGCCCAUGGUGCCUGAAUCCCUCUGGGAGUAUUAAAUGGAAGGCCCCCUGGUACCUGAAUUUUGUUUUAGUUUUCUCUCUCCAUCUCUGUGAUUACACAUAAAAUCAGCCAAGCACCUGCUCCCCUCCAGCCUAGAUAACACAUACCUCCAUGCUAUAAAGGGACAAUUUGACCAAGAGACACCCACCUCACCUGACCACAGAGCUGGAAAAUCUACUAUGUCAGACUUCCAUGCAACCGCUGGUGGGAGAAAGUUUUCACGAGUCUCUCUGGGCCCUUAUCCCUCUCCCCUGUAUUCCCAUCCUUAUCCAAAUCCACAUUUCACCAAACUCCCUAACGCUAAGCAGCUGUUGAAGUUCAGAUCACAGUCUCUGAGGAGCUCCUGGUUUCCCAUGGAAUGUGAUUUGCCUCAUCAUCUUACAGCCUGCCUCCACUUUGCUUUCUUAUCAUUUC